UACGUAGGUGGCAAGCGUUGUCCGGAUUUACUGGGCGUAAAGGAUGCGUAGGCGGACAUUUAAGUCAGAUGUGAAAUACCCGAGCUUAACUUGGGUGCUGCAUUUGAAACUGGGUGUCUAGAGUGCAGGAGAGGUAAGUGGAAUUCCUAGUGUAGCGGUGAAAUGCGUAGAUAUGUGGAGGAACACCAGUGGCGAAGGCGACUUUCUGGGCUGUAACUGACGCUGAGGCGCGAAAGCGUGGGGAGCAAACAGG
rnacentral:rRNA from 1 species